CGCCGCUGACAGGCAGCCUCGGCGGGGAGCGUGCCGGUACUUUGCCUUCAGAAUAAUUUGCAGGACCCACGCUAGCUUUCGGAGCGCCCUUGUUUUCUUCGGCCGUUGCCCCUCCCCACGGAAAAGAAGGUCCCACUUUUGAAACAGACCGCACCCGAAGCACCCUCCCCACGCCGAAGCCCGACGGGCGGCUGUGCGCGUGCUGUCCUUUCUCGCAGUCCAUUCCGGGCCUGUGUGGAAUAGAAAGGCAGUUCUUUAUUUGGCUGGUGGGAAGACAAGCGGAGACCCCUCGGGGUUCCCAAGGAGGACUGGAGCGGCUGCUGUAGUGACGAAAUGGAGAAUCAAAGAAGUAAAGGACCUGCCUCAAAGUCACUCUACUAGGAAAUCCUGAGGGGUUUGACACUUUUCAUCCUCCAGCCAUUAAUCAUCCUGUAAGGAAAGGCUAUCCAUUGGUAGGAAUAAAAAGCCAGCAGUUCCUGGCCAGUGAUACUCCAGUUCAAGAUGUCUGACUGACACGUGUCGGCACCAGCAUCGAAGGAAGGAAGUGACGGACGGGCUCUGGCUCCAGGUUCCUGUCCUGAGACCACAGCAGUAUGUGCCUUGGACGAAGGCUUGGACUCCUGGAUCAUCUGGUGACUUCACAUAUCUGGUCUCAGGGUGGUGAACUUUUUCUCUGAAUUCCUAACCUGUGAGCUUAUGAUGAUGGUGCCUGUCAAUUAACUGAACAACACUGGAACAUGCUUGUUUGUGGCUCCUUUUGUGGACUUCUAUUGGGUAACAUUCUACGUUGGGGAGUGAAAUUGUGGAAAGUAAUAUUAAUGAUCAUAAUGAAAUAUCUGCUGCAAUAGUAUGCUUUCAAAAGGGAAAAAGAAAGAGAGAAAAAAGAAAG